AAGUCGUAACAAGGUAACCGUAGGUGAACCUGCGGUUGGAUCAUUAGAAAAUUGAAGGGCGUAGUGGCCUGCGGGGCAUUGUUGCCCCGAAAACACACUAGUCCUUUUGUACUAACAACAGGACAAAAAAGACUUACUUGUGAACUGUUCCGUCUCUGGCGAGUGGGUAGUGUCAUCCACUACUUGUCAGCGCAAUGCCAGCGCCGUGGACAACUCGCCAACCUUUUUGUAACAUUUUUGCUUCAAAUUCUUUUGUCUGAAACUUUUCUGUAUAAAAAUAGAAAAAAACAACUUUUGGCAACGGAUCUCUAGGCUCUC
rnacentral:misc_RNA from 1 species